AAGGAUAACGUGACCUCGAGGUAUAACUAUUGCAUCCCUUCUAGAUAUAUACUGUUCACUUUUGCUUGAAUUUGCAAGAUCAAAAACAUCAGCCAAGAAAGUCAAUAUUGAAUUUGAGGCUUCCCUGUGCUGUACUGUGAUUCCGACCAUUGAACAAUCUAUUAGUGCUGGAAAUACCGAAGAUGGAAUAAAUAAUUGAGGGCAAUAUCGUA
rnacentral:misc_RNA from 1 species